GACGAACGCUGGCGGCGUGCUUAACACAUGCAAGUCGAGCGGUAAGGCCCUUUCGGGGGUACACGAGCGGCGAACGGGUGAGUAACACGUGGGUGACCUGCCCUCAGCUCUGGGAUAAGCCUGGGAAACUGGGUCUAAUACUGGAUAUGACUCCACGGUGCAUGUCGUGGGGUGGAAAGCCUUGUGCGGCUGAGGAUGGGCCCGCGGCCUAUCAGCUUGUUGGUGGGGNGAUGGCCUACCAAGGCGACGACGGGUAGCCGGCCUGAGAGGGCGACCGGCCACACUGGGACUGAGACACGGCCCAGACUCCUACGGGAGGCAGCAGUGGGGAAUCUUGCGCAAUGGGCGAAAGCCUGACGCAGCGACGCCGCGUGAGGGAUGACGGCCUGGUUGUAACGUACUUUC
rnacentral:rRNA from 1 species